AGUUGGUUAACUUAAGUUUAAAGUGUCAGACUUUUAAUCUGAAGAUGGAAAAUCCACCAACUA
rnacentral:tRNA from 1 species